rnacentral:rRNA from 1 species
CCAUGCAUAAUUAGUGGCAGACGGGUGAGUAAUGCAUAGGAAUCUACCUAGUAGUAUGGGAUAGCCACUAGAAAUGGUGGGUAAUACUGUAUAAUCCCUGCGGGGGAAAGAUUUAUCGCUAUUAGAUGAGCCUAUGUUAGAUUAGCUAGUUGGUAGGGUAAAGGCCUACCAAGGCAAUGAUCUAUAGCUGGUCUGAGAGGAUGAUCAGCCACACUGGAACUGAGAUACGGUCCAGACUCCUACGGGAGGCAGCAGUGGGGAAUAUUGGACAAUGGGCGCAAGCCUGAUCCAGCUAUGCCGCGUGAGUGAGGAAGGCCUUAGGGUUGUAAAACUCUUUCAGUAGGGAAGAUAAUGAGG